rnacentral:misc_RNA from 1 species
UAUCGUCUUGAGCGUAUUGUGGUUUCCUGUGUUGCAUACCUAACUAAUGGUAUCGUUUUGAUUGAUCGAAGUCCCUUUUCAUCCUGUGUUUGCCUUUGCGACGCAUGAUGAACCUCGAAGUAGUCUCUAUGUUCCACCACGUUGAUGCUGGUGUUUUGAUGUUGUGGCCCAUUGAGCUUUGCUUGGUUUCAUGGAUACAGAACAUGAUUUGGGCAUAGGGUCACUCGUGACUCUUGAUUUGUCCUUUAUCUGUGUUCUUUAUAACGACGGUUCAUGCGCGCCUAGGCUCGUACCUGCGCGAUGUUCUUUGUCGAAGAGGAAUGC